UACGUAGGGUGCGAGCGUUAAUCGGAAUUACUGGGCGUAAAGCGUGCGCAGGCGGUUUCUGAAGUCCGUUGUGAAAGCCCCGGGCUUAACCUGGGAAUGGCAGUGGAAACUAGGAGACUUGAAUCUGGCAGAGGGGGGUGGAAUGCCACGUGUAGCAGUGAAAUGCGUAGAGAUGUGGCGGAACACCGAUGGCGAAGGCAGCCCCCUGGGUCAAGAUUGACGCUCAGGCACGAAAGCGUGGGAAGCAAACAGG
rnacentral:rRNA from 1 species